GUGUAUUGAUCACAUUUAAGGAUUAGUUUCGUUGCUCUAUUUUAAAUUACUUUAAACUCUUUCACUUUGUAUUGAGGUAGACUGAACAAUAAUAUGGAAAAAAGCUGCAAAUGGGGAAGAGAAAUAGCAUAAGUUUAGUAUGCAUUGACAAAUCUAUCAAUAAAAAUUUUUUUUAUAACGUAAUCUGCAUGUUUAAGAAAUUUUAAAUUUUUACACAAGUACUUUAUUUCCUUUUCAUAAAAUAUGCUUUAUGGUUUUGACUUAGUUUCAUCCUUCUGAAUGCAACGAAAUCAUCCGCAAGGUCGUAGCUCCCAUAUUAGCUGAGAUCUCGCAUUUUUGUGGCCCAUUUUUGGGCUCAAAAACGGGGUCGAAAAUUGACAUUUUUCCGAAUUUUCAAAGUGCUGUAAUUCCACUUGUUCUGGUCGAAUUCUGUUAUAACCCGGUGUUUUCGUAAUAUUGGUGAUAAGAAUAAGCCGCUGAUAGGGGUUUCUCUAGCUAUUUUCGGGUUUAAAGAAAUUCGAUUUUUCGCAUAUUCAAAGUGCUAUAAUUCCGUUAGUUUUUCUCGAAACUCAUUAUAACCCGGUGUUUUCGUGUUGCAGGUGAUGGAAACAAGCCGCUGGUAUAGUUAGUUCAAAUUCGAAAAAAAUCAGUUUUUGGUGAAAAAUUUGAUACGGGGGGGUAUACCCUAAAAAUGAAAAUUCUCAAACUUUGGAGGUCCAUAUCUCGGCUUCUAUGGGUCCUAUCGGGAAAAUUCCAACGGUUUUGACUUAGUAUCGUCCUUCUGAAUCCAACGAGACCAUCCGCAAGGUCGUAGCUCCCAUAUUAGCUGAGAUCUCGCAUUUUUAUAGCCCAUUUUUGGGCUCAAAAACGGGGUCAAAAAUUGACUUUUUUCCGAAUUUUCAAAGUGCUAUAAUUCCACUUGUUCUGGUCGAAUUCUGUUAUAACCCGGUGUUUUCGUAAUAUUGGUGAUAAGAAUAAGCCGCUGACAGGGGUUUCUCUAGCUAUUUUCGGGUUUAAAGAAAUUCGAUUUUUCGCAUAUUCAAAGUGCUAUAAUUCCGUUAGUUUUUCUCGAAACUCAUUAUAACCCGGUGUUUUCGUGUUGCAGGUGAUGGAAACAAGCCGCUGGUAUAGUUAGUUCAAAUUCGAAAAAAAUCAGUUUUUGGUGAAAAAUUUGAUACGGGGGGGUAUACCCUAAAAAUGAAAAAUCUCAAACUUUGGAGGUCCAUAUCUCGGCUUCUAUGGGUCCUAUCGGGAAAAUUCCAACGGUUUUGACUUAGUUUCGUCCUUCUGAAUCCAACGAGACCAUCCGCAAGGUCGUAGCUCCCAUAUUAGCUGAGAUCUCGCAUUUUUAUAGCCCAUUUUUGGGCUCAAAAACGGGGUCAAAAAUUGACUUUUUUCCGAAUUUUCAAAGUGCUAUAAUUCCACUUGUUCUGGUCAAAUUCUGUUAUAACCCGGUGUUUUCGUAAUAUUGGUGAUAAGAAUAAGCCGCUGAUAGGGGUUUCUCUAGCUAUUUUCGGGUUUAAAGAAAAUCGAUUUUUCGCUUAUUCAAAGUGCUAUAAUUCCGUUAGUUUUUCUCGAAACUCAUUAUAACCCGGUGUUUUCGUGUUGCAGGUGAUGGAAACAAGCCGCUGGUAUAGUUAGUUCAAAUUCGAAAAAAAUCAGUUUUUGGUGAAAAAUUUGAUACGGGGGGGUAUACCCUAAAAAUGAAAAAUCUCAAACUUUGGAGGUCCAUAUCUCGGCUUCUAUGGGUCCUAUCGGGAAAAUUCCAACGGUUUUGACUUAGUUUCGUCCUUCUGAAUCCAACGAGACCAUCCGCAAGGUCGUAGCUCCCAUAUUAGCUGAGAUCUCGCAUUUUUAUAGCCCAUUUUUGGGCUCAAAAACGGGGUCAAAAAUUGACUUUUUUCCGAAUUUUCAAAGUGCUAUAAUUCCACUUGUUCUGGUCGAAUUCUGUUAUAACCCGGUGUUUUCGUAAUAUUGGUGAUAAAAAUAAGUCGCUGAUAGGGGUUUCUCUAGCUAUUUUCGGGUUUAAAGAAAAUCGAUUUUUCGCAUAUUCAAAGUGCUAUAAUUCCGUUAGUUUUUCUCGAAACUCAUUAUAACCCGGUGUUUUCGUGUUGCAGGUGAUGGAAACAAGCCGCUGGUAUAGUUAGUUCAAAUUCGAAAAAAAUCAGUUUUUGGUGAAAAAUUUGAUACGGGGGGGUAUACCCUAAAAAUGAAAAAUCUCAAACUUUGGAGGUCCAUAUCUCGGCUUCUAUGGGUCCUAUCGGAAAAAUUCCAACGGUUUUGACUUAGUUUCGUCCUUCUGAAUCCAACGAGACCAUCCGCAAGGUCGUAGCUUCAAUAUUAGCUGAGAUCUCGCAUUUUUAUAGCCCAUUUUUGGGCUCAAAAACGGGGUCAAAAAUUGACUUUUUUCCGAAUUUUCAAAGUGCUAUAAUUCCACUUGUUCUGGUCGAAUUCUGUUAUAACCCGGUGUUUUCGUAAUAUUGGUGAUAAGAAUAAGUCGCUGAUAGGGGUUUCUCUAGCUAUUUUCGGGUUUAAAGAAAAUCGAUUUUUCGCAUAUUCAAAGUGCUAUAAUUCCGUUAGUUUUUCUCGAAACUCAUUAUAACCCGGUGUUUUCGUGUUGCAGGUGAUGGAAACAAGCCGCUGGUAUAGUUAGUUCAAAUUCGAAAAAAAUCAGUUUUUGGUGAAAAAUUUGAUACGGGGGGGUAUACCCUAAAAAUGAAAAAUCUCAAACUUUGGAGGUCCAUAUCUCGGCUUCUAUGGGUCCUAUCGGGAAAAUUCCAACGGUUUUGACUUAGUUUCGUCCUUCUGAAUCCAACGAGACCAUCCGCAAGGUCGUAGCUCCCAUAUUAGCUGAGAUCUCGCAUUUUUAUAGCCCAUUUUUGGGCUCAAAAACGGGGUCAAAAAUUGACUUUUUUCCGAAUUUUCAAAGUGCUAUAAUUCCACUUGUUCUGGUCAAAUUCUGUUAUAACCCGGUGUUUUCGUAAUAUUGGUGAUAAGAAUAAGCCGCUGAUAGGGGUUUCUCUAGCUAUUUUCGGGUUUAAAGAAAAUCGAUUUUUCGCUUAUUCAAAGUGCUAUAAUUCCGUUAGUUUUUCUCGAAACUCAUUAUAACCCGGUGUUUUCGUGUUGCAGGUGAUGGAAACAAGCCGCUGGUAUAGUUAGUUCAAAUUCGAAAAAAAUCAGUUUUUGGUGAAAAAUUUGAUACGGGGGGGUAUACCCUAAAAAUGAAAAAUCUCAAACUUUGGAGGUCCAUAUCUCGGCUUCUAUGGGUCCUAUCGGGAAAAUUCCAACGGUUUUGACUUAGUUUCGUCCUUCUGAAUCCAACGAGACCAUCCGCAAGGUCGUAGCUCCCAUAUUAGCUGAGAUCUCGCAUUUUUAUAGCCCAUUUUUGGGCUCAAAAACGGGGUCAAAAAUUGACUUUUUUCCGAAUUUUCAAAGUGCUAUAAUUCCACUUGUUCUGGUCGAAUUCUGUUAUAACCCGGUGUUUUCGUAAUAUUGGUGAUAAGAAUAAGCCGCUGAUAGGGGUUUCUCUAGCUAUUUUCGGGUUUAAAGAAAAUCGAUUUUUCGCAUAUUCAAAGUGCUAUAAUUCCGUUAGUUUUUCUCGAAACUCAUUAUAACCCGGUGUUUUCGUGUUGCAGGUGAUGGAAACAAGCCGCUGGUAUAGUUAGUUCAAAUUCGAAAAAAAUCAGUUUUUGGUGAAAAAUUUGAUACGGGGGGGUAUACCCUAAAAAUGAAAAAUCUCAAACUUUGGAGGUCCAUAUCUCGGCUUCUAUGGGUCCUAUCGGGAAAAUUCCAAUGGUUUUGACUUAGUUUCGUCCUUCUGAAUCCAACGAGACUAUCCGCAAGGUCGUAGCUCCCAUAUUAGCUGAGAUCUCGCAUUUUUAUAGCCCAUUUUUGGGCUCAAAAACGGGGUCAAAAAUUGACUUUUUUCCGAAUUUUCAAAGUGCUAUAAUUCCACUUGUUCUGGUCGAAUUCUGUUAUAACCCGGUGUUUUCGUAAUAUUGGUGAUAAGAAUAAGCCGCUGAUAGGGGUUUCUCUAGCUAUUUUCGGGUUUAAAGAAAAUCGAUUUUUCGCUUAUUCAAAGUGCUAUAAUUCCGUUAGUUUUUCUUGAAACUCAUUAUAACCCGGUGUUUUCGUGUUGCAGGUGAUGGAAACAAGCCGCUGGUAUAGUUAGUUCAAAUUCGAAAAAAAUCAGUUUUUGGUGAAAAAUUUGAUACGGGGGGGGUAUACCCUAAAAAUGAAAAAUCUUAAACUUUGGAGGUCCAUAUCUCGGCUUCUAUGGGUCCUAUCGGGAAAAUUCCAACGGUUUUGACUUAGUUUCGUCCUUCUGAAUCCAACGAGACCAUCCGCAAGGUCGUAGCUCCCAUAUUAGCUGAGAUCUCGCAUUUUUAUAGCCCAUUUUUGGGCUCAAAAACGGGGUCAAAAAUUGACUUUUUUCCGAAUUUUCAAAGUGCUAUAAUUCCACUUGUUCUGGUCGAAUUCUGUUAUAAUCCGGUGUUUUCGUAAUAUUGGUGAUAAGAAUAAGUCGCUGAUAGGGGUUUCUCUAGCUAUUUUCGGGUUUAAAGAAAAUCGAUUUUUCGCAUAUUCAAAGUGCUAUAAUUCCGUUAGUUUUUCUCGAAACUCAUUAUAACCCGGUGUUUUCGUGUUGCAGGUGAUGGAAACAAGCCGCUGGUAUAGUUAGUUCAAAUUCUAAAAAAAUCAGUUUUUGGUGAAAAAUUUGAUACGGGGGGGUAUACCCUAAAAAUGAAAAAUCUCAAACUUUGGAGGUCCAUAUCUCGGCUUCUAUGGGUCCUAUCGGGAAAAUUCCAACGGUUUUGACUUAGUUUCGUCCUUCUGAAUCCAACGAGACCAUCCGCAAGGUCGUAGCUCCCAUAUUAGCUGAGAUCUCGCAUUUUUAUAGCCCAUUUUUGGGCUCAAAAACGGGGUCAAAAAUUGACUUUUUUCCGAAUUUUCAAAGUGCUAUAAUUCCACUUGUUCUGGUCGAAUUCUGUUAUAACCCGGUGUUUUCGUAAUAUUGGUGAUAAGAAUAAGCCGCUGAUAGGGGUUUCUCUAGCUAUUUUCGGGUUUAAAGAAAAUCGAUUUUUCGCAUAUUCAAAGUGCUAUAAUUCCGUUAGUUUUUCUCGAAACUCAUUAUAACCCGGUGUUUUCGUGUUGCAGGUGAUAGAAACAAGCCGCUGGUAUAGUUAGUUCAAAUUCUAAAAAAAUCAGUUUUUGGUGAAAAAUUUGAUACGGGGGGGUAUACCCUAAAAAUGAAAAAUCUCAAACUUUGGAGGUCCAUAUCUCGGCUUCUAUGGGUCCUAUCGGGAAAAUUCCAACGGUUUUGACUUAGUUUCGUCCUUCUGAAUCCAACGAGACCAUCCGCAAGGUCGUAGCUCCCAUAUUAGCUGAGAUCUCGCAUUUUUAUAGCCCAUUUUUGGGCUCAAAAACGGGGUCAAAAAUUGACUUUUUUCCGAAUUUUCAAAGUGCUAUAAUUCCACUUGUUCUGGUCGAAUUCUGUUAUAACCCGGUGUUUUCGUCAUGUAGGUGAUGGGAAUAAGCCGCUGACAGGGGUUUCUAUUGCUAUUUUCGGGUUUAAAGAAAAUCGAUUUUUCGCAUAUUCAAAGUGCUAUAAUUCCGUUAGUUUUUCUCGAAACUCAUUAUAACCCGGUGUUUUCGUGUUGCAGGUGAUGGAAACAAGCCGCUGGUAUAGUUAGUUCAAAUUCGAAAAAAAUCAGUUUUUGGUGAAAAAUUUGAUACGGGGGGGUAUACCCUAAAAAUGAAAAAUCUCAAACUUUGGAGGUCCAUAUCUCGGCUUCUAUGGGUCCUAUCGGGAAAAUUCCAACGGUUUUGACUUAGUUUCGUCCUUCUGAAUCCAACGAGA